rnacentral:rRNA from 1 species
CAUAGGUGGGAGGCAUUGAAGAUAUUCUUGCGGGAAAAUUGGAGCCAUCAGUGAGAUACCACUCUUGUAAUGUUAGAUUUCUAACUUUGGUAUCAUUAUCUGGUCAAAGGACAGUUUCAGGCGGGCAGUUUGACUGGGGCGGUCGCCUCCCAAACGGUAACGGAGGCGCACAAAGGUUUCCUCUGAACGGGUAGAAAUCGUAUCUAGAGUGUAAAGGCAUAAGGAAGCUUGACUGUGAGACCUACAAGUCGAGCAGGGACGAAAGUCGGUCUUAGUGAUCUGACGGUGCUGAGUGGAAAGGCCGUCACUCAACGGAUAAAAGUUACUCAGAAACCCCAGGCUAA